rnacentral:tRNA from 1 species
GGGUAUGGCUCAGUGGUACAGUGCGUGUAUGCUAAGCAUGAGGUCCUGGGUCCAAUCCCUAGUAUGCCCA